ACUCAAAGGAAUUGACGGGGGCCCGCACAAGCGGUGGAGCAUGUGGUUUAAUACGUCACUAACCGUAGAACCUUACCUAGGCUUGACAUCUGGGGAACCCUGACGAAAGUCGGGGGUGCCUUCGGGAACCUCAAGACAGGUGUUGCAUGGCUGUCGUCAGCUCGUGUCGUGAGAUGUUGGGUUAAGUCCCGCAACGAGCGCAACCCUCAUCCGAUGUUGCCAGCGUAAAGUCGGGAACUCUUCGGAAACUGCCCGUGUAAGCGGGAGGAAGGUGGGGAUGACGUCAAGUCAGCAUGGCCCUUACGCCUGGGGCUACACACAUGCUACAAUGGGCGCUAACAAAGGGCAGCAAUACCGCGAGGUGGAGCGAAUCUCAUAAAUGCGUCCUCAGUUCGGAUUGUAGUCUGCAACUCGACUACAUGAAGUCGGAAUCGCUAGUAACCGCAGGUCAGCUAAACUGCGGUGAAUACGUUCCCGGGCCUUGUACACACCGCCCGU
rnacentral:rRNA from 1 species